UCUUUUUCUCUAUUGAGAAUCCCACAGACUGAGCAGUCUUGAGUUAAUAAACUGAACUUGGAAAUUGUUUAGAAACUUAAAACAAUAAAAUGAGCUACUACCUCUCAUUUCAGUUGUUUUGAUAAUCGGGUCAUUUAAUGGUGAAGCCAGUGGGAUGUACAGGUAAAUUAUUAAAUAUUAUCAGAUUCUCAAUAGUAUUUCAAUUUGGGCAGGAGUUGGGCAAGAAAACACUUAACUGGAAAGUUUAAGCAGAAGGUCUUUCUGUUAAUUUUAUGUAAUUUGUGCCAUGUUAAGUCUAUCUAACUGAGGACAAAUACAACUUUAAAGAGAAAAUUGGCAGAAAUUCUAAGAAAAUCUCUCAAACAUAUUGAAAACUGCUUCAUUUGUGGCAUGACAGAAAAUCAUUGGCAAACACUUAAGGAGGUGAGCGAAUAUUUUGGGUAAUAUAGUGUAUAUGGUAUCCAUAUCUUUAUUGGGGCCUGCCUAGCAGAGCAGUGACUGCCUUGCUUCUGCCCAUAGCAAUAGGCAGGCACCUAUUGUUCUACUACACCCAAUAGGAUGUCUCUUUAUUAUUAAAGUUUAUUUAUUUUUCUUCCGUCACCGUUAGUGUGGCUCGUACCGCUGUGUGCACCUCCACAAAAAUGGUAUCAAAACGUCCGGCUUGAUGCCGAGAAGGGAGCUAUUUUUAGUAGGAUUCAGAGUUACCAUGGUGACAUAAAUUGCGAAGCAAGGCUGAGUGUCACGGAAUCAGGAAUCUUUCUCUCUGACACACACACAGGACAGUGGAUUUCUGACUCCAAAACUCUUUUUAACUCACCCUCAUGGGCACAAAAUCAAAAAUCGCCCUAUUGCUCUGAAAGUCAGUCAUGACAUUGAUGCCCAUGCCUGCUCUUGUAAAAUGUUUUCAAAAUUUUUCUAGGGGUUGUAGUUCUCUGUAAAAGUGCUUCAGACCGACGCUCAGUGUCUGACAAAGAUAGGAACUCUUAGUGUCUCACAGAGACAGGAAUAUUUCUCUCUGACACACAGCACAGUAGAUAUCUGACUUUAGCUCGCCCUCACGGACACAAAAAUCGCCCUAUAGACCCUUUUCACAUGACGUCAGACAACAUCCGUUUUGACUCGAUCCAGUGUAUCUUUAGUUCUGGUGUGUGUAGUUAACGCUGUUUCUGGACUGUAAAGCAGCUGCCACAAAUACGAUUUGAAGAUAUAUCACUAUUUGCAAGCAAUUUUUCUUCAUCAACAUAAUCUAAACUGGACAAAUUCCUCGCUGAUUGAUACCAGUUUCACUACAAAGGUUACACUUGAUUCUGCUGUGGUGCCUGUGGAAACAAAGUGCAUGAAGUUUGUGCUCAGGUGGGAAAACCCUGUGGAUCACAUGGUGGGACUUCUGCUUCAAACUGCUCACUACAGUUUACCAUUGCCUCUGUCAUGCACCAGUUCACUGCAGACUGACACCCGCCAAGGACCCUACAUGGAUGUCUUCUUAAGUUGUAAACCCUGAGUACAUACUGUUGAAAUAAAAUUGAUAUGCCUUUUGUAAAUACAUUUUCUCUAUCAAUGACUUAAAUUGUUAACUGUGGUAAUUAUGUUUGUGUAAUGUAGUAACCAUGUACAGUGUUUAAUAUAAUUAUUAAAUAGAUGUUUUAAAGAAACAAUCACAAACCUUAUGUCUUUGGUCCCCAAUAGCAGCUUUAAUUUUAGCAUUUCCUCUCAUCCACAUAUUUCGUUGCCAGAUGUGUAAAAUUUACAAAAAGAAGCAAUUUAAAUGUAAAACUUGCACAUAUGUAGAUUACUCAAGAGAAACUAUUUACAAUAGUUUUUGCAGAACUCUACACAUCAAUUCAUUUAUUAAUAGAUACAUAUAGAUAUUAAUUACAGAAUAGAUACACAAAGAAUUCAUUUCUAACACAGCUGCUUGCAGUAGUGAGUGUUCAUCCAAGAAGUGUGACUUGCAGGAGCAGGGAGGCUCUGUACUGGUUUCUCCUUUUAAAUCAAGAGGCCCAUGACAGUUUGACAUUAGGCAGCAGAUGUCCCACAGUUGAUUGACUGAUCCUACCAUGGACAGAGAAACAAGACCAUCUCAGAUAUGGUAGGUCGGCUACUGUUGGAAAGAUGGACAACAAAAGAAAUGGAGAAAUUAUGAAUCACACAGAAUAUGUAAAUUAUUUAGCAGAUAGUGCUUAAAUCAAUAUUUAAAAUGCUUUUCUAAACAACAGUGUUGGAAGAUGUCAGUGAUUUUAGUGAAACUUAACAACACAGCACUGAAAGGCAGCGGUGUAUAUAUUUUCCCAACUGUGGCUAAAGCUGCUGCUAGCUGGUUUACUCUCCGAUCGGAGGCUGGUUAUUAUAUACACAGUCAAAGAAUGGUGGAUUGACAAUGAGUAAUAACGGUUAUCUAACACUUAAAUGCUGUUAUUAUUAACCUUACCUUUUAUUAUAUCCUUAAGAUAAUGAGUAUCCGUGAAUUAUUCAGUCAGGUUUCCCGAGGCAAAAUCACACCGGAAGUAAAGAUACACCGCUUCGAGUUAUGGCAGCCAUUGUCUGACGUCGCUGUGAAAAGGGUCUAUUGGUCUAAAAGUCGGUCAUGACAUACACACACAUGCCUGCUCCCAUAAAAUGUUUUCGAAAUUUUUCUAGGGCUUAUGGUUCUCUGUCAAAUUGCUUUAGACCGACCCUGAGUGUCUCAUAAAGAGAGGAACUCUUUUUCCACCAUUCUGUUUGACACAGAGACACAGCCCAGGUGCAGGUCAUUAAUUACCAUAGCAAGGCAGCCUUGACGCUAAUGUUGAGCUUCAGAAUGCUUUUCAUACUUAUUAGCUAUGUUUUGUAUCCUGAAUGGAGUAAGUCUAUAAUAGACAACAUGUUAGUGAUACCCCACAUGCUACUGAUAGCAUUCAUGCUGUUAUUAGCAUUUUGGCUAA